CAGAGCGCCCACCUCAGCGAUUAUAUUACACCUACUGUGUGAGGCCGAAGCCCGGACAUAGAAGAAGGGUCAUAUCCUGCUGUACAAAACAAAGCGUUAAAGAUAAGAGUUUAUUGUAAGCAUCAGUCACCAACCUGAAGACAGACAACUCCAACCUCCCAUCACAGAGGAAAAACUUCUGUGGAGGACAGCUGCAGUGGGACACUCAGGGAGGCUGAGCUUUCUCCGUUCAUCUUUUUUUUU